rnacentral:rRNA from 1 species
GUACACGCUGUGACUAGCAUAUCAAUAAGCGGAGGAAAAGAAACUAACAAGGAUUCCCCUAGUAACGGCGAGUGAAGCGGGAAGAGCUCAAAUUUGAAAUCUUAAAGGGUUUCCCUUUACGAAUUGUAGUUUAAAGAAGUGUUUUCUGUUGAGGUUUUGGUAAAAGUUCUUUGGAAUAGGACAUCAUAGAGGGUGAGAAUCCCGUAUUUGACCUUUACUUUCAACUUUGUGAUACACUUUCAAAGAGUCGGAUUGUUUGGGAAUGCAGUCCAAAAUGGGUGGUAAAUUUCAUCUAAAGCUAAAUAUUGGCGAGAGACCGAUAGCGAACAAGUACCGUGAGGGAAAGAUGAAAAGAACUUUGAAAAGAGAGUUAAACAGUACGUGAAAUUGUCAAAAGGGAAGCGUUUGACACCAGUGUUGUUUUUCUGAAAAUCAAUUAAAGAGCUGUUUAUGCUAAGCUGUUUAGACUUUAUCAGCUAACUGUUUAGUUUUGAGCUUUUCUUUAAUGCACUUUUCAGUUAACAAGUCAACAUCAAUUUCUUUUGCUGUAAAAAAGCUUGAGGAAGGUGGCUUGAGAUUCGUCUUAAGUGUUUAUAGCCUCUUGCCUAUGCAGUCGGAGAGAUUGAGGUCUGCAGCGUAGAUCCUUCGGGGCUAAAUGCAUUUGUGCUAAGUUAUAGCAUUUUAUAGACAACUUGUUGACUAUGAUUUGUCUUGUAGCUUACUCGCUUAUGUUAUUUUACCUACGCUUAGGAUGUUGAGUCGUAGAGCACGCA